AUGGGGUGGCCCAUCCAUGGUGAAGGGGUCUUCUGUGGGACUUGGAGUGGCUCCUGGGUGGUGAUGACUCCUUGGUGGUGGUGGUCUUGGUCCUGCAGGAAUGAGCUGGAGAGAGGAGAAGCUGGGUUCUGUAUCCUGCUGAAGAAGAUGACUUUAUUACAAGCAUCAGAAUUAUUGGCUCCUGAAGGCUCUUUGGGAUUAUUUCUGAUGUGAGCGCUACUGUUCUGCGUUGCCUGUGGGAUCUGAGAUGCCUGAGACUAUCUGCCCUGUAGGGGAAGGGCUGGGCUUAGCUCACUUGAGGGUUUGUGGUGGAGUGGAUACCUGUCUGUCUCUAACUUAAAACAGUAAUUCCUUACAUACCUCACAAAGAUGUGGGUGUGCGGUCUCUUUCUGUGCGUUGGCCUCGCUCGUUUGCCGCUGAAGGUUUUCAUCUUGGGGAAUGUGAAGAGGAAGAGGGAUGAUCCCUGAAGCGAUUGGCUCUUUGGCACUGCAUGCUCUGUAAAAGACAAAGUGAGACUGAAAUCAAUAACAUAUUUUUACAAGUUACCUAUGGCAUAGAUACUGUGCAUCAGACUUGCUUUGUGCAGUGUAAUGGCUGACUGUGUUGCCAGUGUUUGUGUUGUUGUAGCUGUAUUUCCAGAUAGAAUUGUUUCUUGAGCUCAGUAUGGCUCAGUGACUGCCUUGUUUUACAAUAAAUAAAGAAAAAAAAACCA
rnacentral:lncRNA from 1 species